CAUUCCGUGAUGAGGCCAAGUAUUCGUUUAAUUGGAACAGCAACGGCAUCUGGGGAUUCGAAAGUAUGCAUUAUUCUGGUGAUUGAAGCAAUCGCAAAUUUAAACUGAUGUUGCUGAAGGA
ensembl:snoRNA snoRNA:Me28S-A576